UACGUAGGGGGCUAGCGUUGUCCGGAAUUAUUGGGCGUAAAGAGCUCGUAGGCGGCUAGUCACGUCGGAUGUGAAAACCCGAGGCUCAACCUCGGGCCUGCAUUCGAUACGGGCUGGCUAGAGUACUGCAGGGGAGACUGGAAUUCCUGGUGUAGCGGUGAAAUGCGCAGAUAUCAGGAGGAACACCGGUGGCGAAGGCGGGUCUCUGGGCAGUAACUGACGCUGAGGAGCGAAAGCGUGGGGAGCGAACAGG
rnacentral:rRNA from 1 species